UUUUUUAAAACAAUGAAAACAUCAUCUUUCCUGUCAUCGCUCCAAAUAUUCUUACACCUGAGGAUUGCCAAAUAUUUGUAGCUCCAAAUAUAUAUUCUCAGCUGCAAAUUCCUUUUCUUUUCUUUUUAUUUAAUUAAGAGUGGAAUAACUUAAGGAAAGAAAGAUAAAAAAGAAAAAACAGAGAGACACACAUAAAAGUCUCUUGUAGAGAGAGACAAAGCAUGAGCACUUCUUCCUGUGUCUCCAUUUCAACAAAUCCUCUCUUUAGAUCUUAGUUUCUCUCAAGUUUCCCAACUGGGUCUUCUCCAAUAUGCAAGGGAUGGAAUCAGAUCUUGGUAAGCUCUUCAUUGGUGGGAUUUCAUGGGACACUGAUGAGGAACGUCUUAAGGAAUAUUUUAGCAACUAUGGGGAAGUGGUUGAGGCUGUGAUCAUGAGAGAUCGUGUUACAGGCCGUGCCCGUGGCUUUGGUUUUGUUGUCUUUGCAGAUCCUAUUGUUGCCGAGAGGGUCAUCAUGGAGAAGCACGUGGUUGAUGGCCGCACAGUUGAAGCAAAGAAGGCUGUUCCUAGGGAUGAUCAGCACAUUUUAAGUAGAAACAUUAGUAAUAUUCAUGGUUCUCCAGGUCCUGGACGCACCAAAAAGAUUUUUGUUGGAGGCCUUGCAUCUACGGUUACAGAGAAUGACUUCAAGAAGUACUUUGAGCAGUAUGGUAUUAUUACUGAUGUUGUAGUGAUGUACGAUCACAACACUCUGAGGCCAAGAGGCUUUGGCUUCAUCACUUAUGAUUCAGAGGAAGCAGUGGACAGAGUUCUGCAUAAAACAUUUCAUGAACUCAAUGGUAAAAUGGUUGAGGUCAAGAGGGCAGUCCCAAAGGAGCUAUCACCAGGUCCUAGUCGGAGCCCUGUGAUGGGGUAUAACUAUGGUUUGACUAGGGCCAACAACUUCCUUAAUGCAUAUGCUCAGGGAUAUAAUACGAGCUCUAUUGGAGGUGUUGGAAUGAGGAUGGAUAGUAGGUUUAAUCCGCUUGCCACUGGUCGAAGUGGAUAUGCUCCCUUUAGCAAUACUGGUUAUGGGAUGAGUAUGAAUUUAGAGCCAGGCUUGAGUCCAAGCUACAGUGGAGGUUCCAACUUUGGUAACACUCCUGCAUAUGGGCGGAUCUCAAGUCCUUAUUAUAGUGGGAAUCCAAGCAGGUACAACACACCAGUAGGUUAUGGUGGGGGGAAUGCAAGAAAUGAUUCUCCAUUCAGCCCUACUACUUGGAAUGUCUGGGGAAAUGGCAGCCACAAUACUGCCACACAUCCUGCCAGCCCUGGUCCUUUAUUGGGCUCCGAAACUGGAAAUUUUGGAGUUUCAUUUGGGAAUAGUGGAUCGAAUUGGGGCACUUCUUCUGUAUCAGCUCAAGGCAGAGGAAGUGCUUCUGGUUAUACUACUGGCAGCAUGGGUUAUGGGAGUGGUGACAACAAUUAUGGUUUGGGUGGGGCAGGAUAUGUAAGAAACAGUGGCACUGGUGCACCACCAACAUCAUCAUUCUCUGGGUCAGCAGGUGGUUAUGAGGGGUCCUAUGGGGACCUUUAUCGCAGUGGUUCUGUUUAUGGUGAUUCAACUUGGCAAUCUGCUACUCCUGAGCUUGAUGGUCGUGGUUCAUUUGGUUAUGGGCUUGGUGAUGUAGCUCCAGAUGUUACAACUAAGAGUUCCGAGGGUUAUAUUGGAAGUUAUGGUGUUACAAGUAGACAAUCAAAUAGAGAUUUUUAAGCAACUGGUAGUCCUAUUAAUAUAUUGUUGAAUUCUCUAACGUGGGGAUGCAAUUGGAUACACAACUGGGCAGAAGUUGGAACUUUCAUAGGAAUUGCUACCUAGGAGAUCUCUUAAUGGAUGUCACAUGAUAAUUGUAGGUGCAGGAAUCUGGUUAAACAGGUGAAGAAUUGUGAAUUUCAUCAUACGUCCCCCUCUUGAUUAUGUUCAGAUUAUAAAGAAAUUGAUCUUGUAGAGCUAACAAGGGUUCUUGAUUUGCAUUAUACACGUUGAGAGAGCAGCAGUGACAAGCGAUUUUCUGUGAGGUUUGAGAUUUGAUUUGAUUUUUUUCCCCUUCUUUCUAAAUUAGUCAGAGGCUUAGGUUCCUUUCAUGGUAUUUGAGUGAGGUGUAAAAUCAGAUUGCGGGAUAUAUACUCAGGAAGAUUGGCUCCAUAAAUGUUCGUGAAUCUCCUGUGGGGGCACAUGUUAGCAGUUGGUAAGAAAAGGGUAUUUUCUUUCAUUUUUUUUCUUUUGCCUGCCAAAGGUGCUGGAUGUUGUCAGUAUCUUUAUUUGGGAUUUGUCUCUCCCAGAUUGUAUUUGAGGUUCUCUGCCUCUCUGCUAGUGUGAAACAUUACAAGGGUUGGUCUCAUACAAUUCCCAUAAAUAAGUUACUGAAUAUUCUGAUUCAUUUUUUAUUAAUUGUGACAAAGCAAGUUUUACACUCA